ACCGUGCAAAGGUAGCAUAAUCACUUGCCUAUUAAUUGUAGGCUAGAAUGAACGGAUAAACGUAAUAAAGACUGUCUCAAUUAUUAUCUUAUAAAUUAACAUUUACACGAAGAGUGGUAAAUAAGUUCGAAGGACAAGAAGACCCUAUAGAGCUUUAUUUUUAAUAUGACAGUUUAUCAUAUAAAAAUUCGGUUGGGGCGACCGGGGGAAGUAAGUUUAAUAUAACACCCCUCAUAAAAUAGAUAAAUUAAUCAAAAAGCUGACCCUAAGAGGAUCAUAAGAAUAAGCUACCUUAGGGAUAACAGGCUAAUUCUAUUUAAGAGUUCAUAUCUACAAUAGGGUUUGGCACCUCGAUGUUGGCUU
rnacentral:rRNA from 1 species